rnacentral:ribozyme from 1 species
AACAACCGACCACUGUAGCAGUCACGCGUGCGCCAUAUCAUUCCAUUCAACAAACUGCAGUGCAGCAGUUUGUUCCUGAAAAAGAUAUCAUUGAUAC